rnacentral:misc_RNA from 1 species
AUGAUCUGCGGAGAUAGUGUCGAGUGGUCAACGGGAACUAACAGCGUGUGAUGAACCUCUGCUGAUCAGCAGUGGACCGCAAUAGUCUUCCAGUCAGUCCAGCGACCUUACGUCUUAGACACCUAUACAAGCUAUUAUACAUUUGUACAUUAUGAUAUUAUUAGUAAGCGGUCUUUGAUUUUGUAAUCAGAUAAUGUCAGUUAUAUUUACAAACUUUUUUUUUUUAAA